UACGAAGGGGGCUAGCGUUGCUCGGAAUUACUGGGCGUAAAGCGCACGUAGGCGGUCUUUUAAGUCGGGGGUGAAAUCCUGGAGCUCAACUCCAGAACUGCCUUCGAUACUGGAAGACUUGAGUCCGGGAGAGGUGAGUGGAACUGCGAGUGUAGAGGUGAAAUUCGUAGAUAUUCGCAAGAACACCAGUGGCGAAGGCGGCUCACUGGCCCGGUACUGACGCUGCGGCGCGAAAGCUAGGGGAGCGAACGGG
rnacentral:rRNA from 1 species